CACGUAGGGUGCGAGCGUUGUCCGGAAUUAUUGGGCGUAAAGAGCUCGUAGGCGGUGUGUCGCGUCGGCCGUGAAAACCUGCAGCUUAACUGUGGGCUUGCGGGCGAUACGGGCAGACUUGAGUACUGCAGGGGAGACUGGAAUUCCUGGUGUAGCGGUGAAAUGCGCAGAUAUCAGGAGGAACACCGGUGGCGAAGGCGGGUCUCUGGGCAGUAACUGACGCUGAGGAGCGAAAGCAUGGGGAGCGAACAGG
rnacentral:rRNA from 1 species